CAGUCGCCGCGGGAACACGUAGGGUGCAAGCGUUAAUCGGAAUUACUGGGCGUAAAGCGUGCGCAGGCGGUUUGUUAAGACAGAUGUGAAAUCCCCGGGCUCAACCUGGGAACUGCAUUUGUGACUGGCAAGCUAGAGUCUGGCAGAGGGGGGUGGAAUUCCGCGUGUAGCAGUGAAAUGCGUAGAUAUGCGGAGGAACACCGAUGGCGAAGGCAGCCCCCUGGGCCAACACUGACGCUCAUGCACGAAAGCGUGGGGAGCAAACAGGAUUAGAUACCCCGGUAGUCCCUGUCUCUUAUAC
rnacentral:rRNA from 1 species